rnacentral:rRNA from 1 species
UACGUAGGGCGCGAGCGUUGUCUGGAAUUAUUGGGCGUAAAGAGCUCGUAGGCGGUGUGUCACGUCGUUCGUGAAAACCUGCAGCUUAACUGUGGGCGUGCGGUCGAUACGGGCAUCACUGGAGUUCGGCAGGGGAGACUGGAAUUCCUGGUGUAGCGGUGAAAUGCGCAGAUAUCAGGAGGAACACCGGUGGCGAAGGCGGGUCUCUGGGCCGAUACUGACGCUGAGGAGCGAAAGCGUGGGGAGCAAACAGG